rnacentral:sRNA from 1 species
CGCCGGAUGCCGCCGAGUCGGGGCCACGCCCGUGGACCCGAGCCGGGGACCCACCGCACCACUGGGGUGAGUCCCGCCUCCCGAGCCCCGCUCGGAGGCGGGUAGGGCGCAUCCCCGCCCGAACCCGUCAGCUGACCCGGUAGGCGGCCACGGGAGAAAGG